rnacentral:rRNA from 1 species
GCAAGUCGAAUGAAUUUAGAUUCAUGGCAGACGAGGUAGGAACACGUGGGUACAUACCGUAGAGUCAGGGAUAAUCUGUCGAAAGGCAGGAUAAUACUCGAUGGUCCCUUCGGGGUAAAGAUUUAUCGCUCUAUGAAUGGCCCGCGGUCUAUCAGCUUGUUGGUACGGUAACGGCGUACCAAGGCUACGACGGAUAGGGGAGGUGAGAGCCUGACC